GUCUUCGAAGAUCAGGGUGAUCAUCCCGUUUAUGUGUUGGGUAGGCGUCAAGAUCAACGGGACGGUGGGGGUUCGAAUCCCUCCGAAGACG